rnacentral:rRNA from 1 species
GCCUACGGGGGGCAGCAGUAGGGAAUUUUCGUCAAUGGGCGCAAGCCUGAACGAGCAAUGCCGCGUGAACGAGGAAGGUCUUCGGAUCGUAAAGUUCUGUUGAAGGGGAAAAAGAGCGGAGAGAGGAAAUGGUCUCCGAUUGAUAUUACCCUUCGAGGAAGUCACGGCUAACUACGUGCCAGCAGCCGCGGUAAUACGUAGGUGGCGAGCGUUAUCCGGAAUGAUUGGGCGUAAAGGGUGCGUAGGCGGCCUGCUAAGUCUGGAGUGAAAGGUACCGGUUCAACCGGUACAGGCUCUGGAAACUG